rnacentral:lncRNA from 1 species
UCACAGUGGCGCGCCGUUCCGAGCAAUGAGACUGCAGGCACAGGUGCGGCCGGAUUCCCUGUCGCUGUCCCGCGCUGAGUGAAUUUUGCCUCGGAGCUGGUCCGAGGUCGCGCCUGCUCUUUUGUGUGCCCAAGGCAGAUUUCCAGAAGUAGAAAUCUGUCUUCUAACUCUAAGGCCUUGGGAGAUGAAGGAUCCGUGAUUCAAAGGCAGAAAGAGAUGGAGUCUUGCUGUGUUCUCCAGGAUUGAGUACAGUGGCUUAUUCACAGAUGUGAUCAUACUACACUACAGCCUCAAACUCCCGGGGUCAAGCAGUCCUCCUGCUUCAGCCUCCUGAGGAGCUGGGACUACAGGCCCACAUCACCAUGCCCACUAGAUUCACAGUCAUUUUGCUUGUGGAAGGUCUUGCCUCAAUGUUGAUAGGUGCUGACUGAUCAGGGUCAGGUUGCUGACUGAUCAGAAUGGUAGUUUCUGAAUGUUGGGAAUGGCUAUGGCAAUUUCUUAAAAUAAGACAACAAUGAAGUUUGCUGCAUUGAUUGACUCCCUUUCACAAAGGAUUUCUCCAUAUCAUGCAAUGCUGUUUGAUAGCAUUUUACCCAUAGUAGAACUUCUUUCAAAAUUGGAGUCAAUUCUCUCAAACCUUGUCUCUGCUUGGUCAACUAAGUUUAUGCACUAUUCCACAUCCUUUGUUGUCAUUUCAACAAUAUUUACAGAGUCUUCACCAUGAAUAGAUUCCUUUUCAAACAACCACUUUCUUUGCUCAGCCAUAAGAAGCAACUCUUCACCCAUUCAAGUUUUAUCAUGAGAUUGCAGCAAUUCAGUCACAUCAAAUUCCACUUCUAAUUCUAGUUGUUUUUCUAUUUCCACCACAUCUGCAGGUACUUUCUCCACAGAAAUUUCAAACCUCUCAAAGUCAUCCGUGAGGGUUGGAAUCAACUUCCAAAUUUCUGUGAAUGUUGAUAUUUUGACCUCCUCCUAAUCACAAAUGUUCUUAAUGGCAUCUAGAAUGGUGAAUCUUUUCCAGAAGGUUUUCUAUGUGCUUUGCCCAGUUCCAUCAGAAGAAUCACUGUCUGUGGUAGCUCUAGCCUUAUUAAAUGUAUAUUUUAAAUAAUAACACCUAAAAAUCAAAAUGACUCCUUGAUCCAUGGGCUGUAGAAUAGACAUUGUGUUAGCAGUCAUGAAAACAAGAUUAAUCUCCUCAUAUAGCACCAUUAUAGCUCUUGGGUGACCACGUGCAUUGUCAAUGACCAGUAAUAUUUUGAAAGGACACCUUUUUUUUUGAGCAGUAGGUCUCAACAGUGGACUUAAAAUAUUCAGAAAGCUGUGUUGUAAACAGAUGUGCUGCCAGCUAGGUAUCGUUGUUCCAUUUAUAGAGCACUGGUAGAGCAGAUUUAGCAUAAUUUGUCAGGACCCUAGGAUUUUUGGAAUGGUAAAUGGGCACUGGCUUCAACUUCAAGUAACCAACUGCAUUAACUCCUAACAAGAAGAGUCAGCCUGUCCUUGAAAGUAUGAAAACAGGCAUGGACUUCUCCUCUCUAGCUAUGAAAGUCUUAGAUGGCAUCUUCUUCCAAUAGAAGUUGUUUCAUGUACAUUGAAAAUCUGUUGUUUGGUGUAGCCACCCUCUUCGAUGAUCUUAGCUAGAUCUUCUGGAUAACUUGCUACAGUUUCUACAUCAGCACUUGUUGCCUUACCUUACACUUUCAUGUUAAGGAGAUAGCUUCUUUCCUUAAACCACAGGAACGAACCUCUGCUAUCUUCUAGAUUUUCUUGGGCAACUUCCUUACUUCUUUCAGCUUUCAUAGAACUGAAUAGUGUUAGGAUCUUGCUCUGGGUUAGGUUUUGGCUUAAGGGAAUGUGGUAGCUGGUUUGAUUUAUUUAGACCACUAAAACUUUCUUCAUAUCAGCAUUAAGGCUGGUUUGCUUUAUUAUCAUUUAUGUGUUCACUGGAGUAGCACUUUAAAUUUCCUCCAAGCUUGUUUGCUUUUCACUCACAGUGUGGCUGUUUGGUGCCAAGAGGCCUAGCUUCCCAGUCUUGGCUUUCAACAUGCCUUCCUCACUAAGCAUAGUCAUUUCUAGCUAUUUAUUUAAAGUUAGAGAUGUGCAACUCUUCUUUCACUUGAACACUUAGAGGCUAUUGUAGGGUUAUUACUUGGCUUAAUUGCAAUAUUGUUGUGUCUGGAGGAAUAGAGAGGCCUGGGGACACAAAGAGAAAUGGGGAACAGCUGGUCACUGGAGCAGUGAGAACACACGCAACAUUUAUUGAUUAAAUUCGCUGUUUUAUGGGCUCGGUUCAUGGUGCUCCAAAACAAUUAUAAUAGUAACAUCAAACAUCACUGUUCACAGGUCACCAUAACAGAUAUAAUGAUAAUGAUAAUAAUAAUAAUGUUUGAAAUAUUGCAAGAAUUACCAAAAUGUGACUCAGAGAAACAAUAAAGUGAGCACAUGCUGUUGGAAAAAUGGUACUGAUAGACUUGAUCCAUGCAGGGUUGCCACAAACGAUUAAUUUGCAAAAAAAACAAACAAAAGAACAUGCAGUAUCUGUGAAGCACAAUAAAGCAUACUGCAAA